rnacentral:rRNA from 1 species
CCCCUAGAUGUUCUGGGCCGCACGCGCGCUACACUGAACAGUUCAACAAGUCUUAACCUUGGCCGAUAGGUCUGGGUAAUCUUUGAACGCUGUUCGUGAUUGGGAUAGACCUUUGCAAUUAUGGGUCUUCAACGAGGAAUUCCUAGUAAACGCAAGUCAUCAGCUUGCAUUGAUUACGUCCCUGCCCUUUGUACACACCGCCCGUCGCACCUACCGAUUGAAUGGUCCGGUGAAAUCUCGGGACGGCGGCUUGGUCGCUUGCGUCCGACUGCUGAAACUUGAUUAAACCAUAUCAUUUGGAGGAAGGUGAAGUCGUAACA